CCCUCAGCGCGCCACUUCGCCUGUCUUUCUAAAUAUUACCAUGAUCAAUAUAAAUGGCAUCGGAAUGCGAGGGGGCAGGGGCCACGUGAUCCCUUCACGAAGGCCACUUG
rfam:Equus caballus chromosome 4, whole genome shotgun sequence.